UCGCUUGCCAGGGAACUACGAGCCCCAGCUUAAAACCCAAAGGACUUGGCGGUGCUUUAGACCCCCCUAGAGGAGCCUGUUCUAGAACCGAUAACCCCCGUUAAACCUCACCCCCUCUUGUUCUCCCCGCCUAUAUACCGCCGUCGUCAGCUUACCCUGUGAAGGACUAAUAGUGAGCAUAAUUGGUACAACCUAAAACGUCAGGUCGAGGUGUAGCGUAUGAGGGGGGAAGAAAUGGGCUACAUUCACUGACCCAGUGAAAACGAACGAUGAUUUGAAACACCCAUCCGAAGGAGGAUUUAGCAGUAAGAGGGCAAUAGAGUGCCCCUC
rnacentral:rRNA from 1 species